UUGCUUUGGCAGCACAUAUACUAAAAUUGAAUGGUACAGAGAUUAGCAUAGUCCCUAUGUAAGGAUGACACACAAAAGUUUGCAAACAGAAAAUUGUUC
rnacentral:snRNA from 1 species